CAAUAGCGUAUAUUAAAGUUGUUGCAGUUAGAACGCUCGUAGUCGGAUUUCGGGGCGGGCCGACCGGUCUGCCGAUGGGUACGCACUGGUCGGCGCGUCCUUCCUUCCGGAGACCGUGCCUACUCUUAACUGAGCGGGGGCGGGAGACGGAUCGUUUACUUUGAAAAAAUCAGAGUGUUUCAAGCAGGCAGCUCGCUCUUGCAUGGAUUAGCAUGGGAUAAUGAAAUAGGACUUUGGUGCUAUUUUGUUGGUUUCGAACACCGAAGUAAUGAUUAGCAGGGACAGUCAGGGGCACUCGUAUUCCGCCGAGAGAGGUGAAAUUCUCAGACCAGCGGAAGACGAACUACUGCGAAAGCAUUUGCCAGGGAUGUUUUCACUGA
rnacentral:rRNA from 1 species